UAUAUUAUUAAUUAAUUUGAGUGUUUACUGGGCCCUUGGAAGGUCCAUUUGUUGCUGUUCCCAGUGGUACGCAUGUACAAACUUUAUACCCGUUACCCCUCUGCCAGUCUCUGCUAUGUUUGUUUACUCCUCAAAGCAGUAGCCUCCAGUCUCUAAGAAGGAUCAGUUCUGGCAGGUCCCAAUGACUUCAGUGAAGCUCGAAGGAUGUCUCUUAAGGCAGAGUGUCAUUCAGAUUUGCAAAGCGAGGGUGAAUAUGGACGAGGGAACAGGAGGAUUCAGAAGCGAAAGUUUUCAGACUCUGAAUCAGACUCCGGGAGUUCUGGCAGUACUGUGGAGCUACCACGCAAUUAUCAGAAGCUGCCCCCACCACCUGAUGUGAGUGACCGGCCACCUCUUCAGCGUGCCAAUGCAGUGGUCAAGAGACCAGCCUUGGCAGCAGAUGUCGGUGUUGCUUCAACUUCGCACAGGACACCACACCCAAGUGCUAGUGAUGCAACAUUUAAAAAACCCAGAGGGCAAUUAUUAUGUAUGUGUAUAUAUUUAAAUA